rnacentral:tRNA from 1 species
GAAGCCUUAGUUUAAUUAAAUCAUUUGUUUUGCAUGCAAAAGAUGUGGGUUAAAUUCCCGUAGGUUUUA